UGAGUUGAGUUGAGUUGAGUUGGUAGGGGAGAGCAUUUAGUCAGUUCAGUUCAGAAUUGAUUUGAAUUUGGAAAGCCAAAAAACCUCUUUUAUCUAAAAGCCAAUCGAAACCGAACCGAAUUGGGGGAAGAAACUAAUCGCGAAAUGAAUGAAAUUGGUUCGGAAAGUUGGUUUUCACAAAAUGUCUAGAAACAAAAAUAAUGCCAAACAUGAACCACAGGAUGUAAACAAAUUCAUCAACAAAUAAAUCCCAACUACUCAAAGAAAUUUACAAAGGAACAAUCCCAAACUUACAUAAUCUAAAUUAUCAAACAAAUUUACAUGAGCAAUCCGAUAACAAAGUCAAACAUUUAAACAAAAUCUUUAAUUUUCGGGAAGUAAAAUAAUGCAACCCAUCUCCAUCACAAACUUG
rnacentral:misc_RNA from 1 species